GACGAACCGUGCAAACGUUAUUCGGAAUCACUGGGCUUAAAGGACGCGUAGGCGGGCCGCCAGGUCCGGGGUGAAAGCCUCCAGCUACAACUGGAGAAGUGCCUUGGAUACCGGCGGCCUCGAGGGAGGCAGGGGCGUGCGGAACUUCGGGUGGAGCGGUGAAAUGCGUAGAUAUCCGAAGGAACACCGGUGGCGAAAGCGGCGCGCUGGACCUCUUCUGACGCUGAGGCGCGAAGCCAGGGAGCAAACGGG
rnacentral:rRNA from 1 species